CCUAAUAUAAUUAAACCUAAAAACUUAUCUAAACCGAGGAACCGCAAACAGUAAGCUAUUUACA
rnacentral:tRNA from 1 species